rnacentral:rRNA from 1 species
AUUGAACGCUGGCGGCAUGCCUUACACAUGCAAGUCGAACGGUAACAGGUCUUCGGAUGCUGACGAGUGGCGAACGGGUGAGUAAUACAUCGGAACGUGCCUAGUAGUGGGGGAUAACUACUCGAAAGAGUGGCUAAUACCGCAUGAGAUCUACGGAUGAAAGCAGGGGAUCGCAAGACCUUGUGCUACUAGAGCGGCCGAUGGCAGAUUAGGUAGUUGGUGGGAUAAAAGCUUACCAAGCCGACGAGCUGUAGCUGGUCUGAGAGGACGAUCAGCCACACUGGGACUGAGACACGGCCCAGACUCCUACGGGGGGCAGCAGUGGGGAAUUUUGGACAAUGGGCGCAAGCCUGAUCCAGCAAUGCAGCGUGCAGGAUGAAGGCCUUCGGGUUGUAAACUGCUUUUGUACGGAACGAAAAGCCCUGGGUUAAUACCCUGGGGUCAUGACGGUACCGUAAGAAUAAGCACCGGCUAACUACGUGCCAGCCGCCGCGGUAAGAC